rnacentral:lncRNA from 10 species
UGGGCUUCUGAGCCACCGAGAGCUCACAGGACUGGAUCUGACAUUCCUGAUGCAUCACACCGGAACCCUCUUCCUGCAGAUACUGUAAUCUGUCCUGUCCUUGAUGAUCUGAUUCCAUGCCAUCUGUCCAACUUCAACUCCAACACUCACCCUCAGAGAACAACACCCAGCAUCUUCUGUUUGGUGUCCCUAUCCUGAGGAACCUCUUCCCCUAGGACUAGAUGUGCUGACAUGCAAGAAUGCUAUUCAAACCACAUGGAUCUUUUACAUAACAAGAUGCAAAAGAGGUUUGUACCACAUGAAUCUCACUGAGUCUGGAACACAUAAUUUCCCUGGAUUUCACACAUUAGAAAUAAUUGGGUGUAUAAAACAUAUGAAUUCACAUCACAAUCUGAGUCCAUUUGUCUCCCCAAACCUGUUUCACUUCAACUUUCUUUGUGAAUAAUUUUUUCCCCAUUUUCACCUAUUACCCUAGGCAAAGCUGAGAGGUUCACAGCCCUUAGAUGAAUUUGCUGCCUAAGCAGACUCAAAGCCAACUUAGAAGUCUUAAACAACAAAUUUUUGGCCACUAAAGUUUUAAAUGGUCCUGAAGUAGAGACUAGAGAAAAAAUUCACUAAUCAUUAUUGACAGUGAAGUGACUUUCCUUCUUUAAUGGGAAAGAAAUGAUUGGCAUGAAGCAACUUUGUUUCUCAGUGACUCGCUAGAGAAUUAAAUAACUGAAGCAUCAAACAACAAUUUUCUUUGAAGAUGACCUUUUUCAUAUUAAAUGAAAAGCUGAAGAGCUAGUCUCAAAGGAAAAGUAAAUGAAUAAUCUGUGAGGGCAACUAUUCCUUCCUGAGUAGACAGUUAAAAAAGAGAGAGAGAGAGGGAGACUAAAAUAUAAUAGUAAACAUCACAGACUGUUGCAUUACAAAUUAAGUGCAUCUUCCAUUUUCAGGGUAACACUGAGAGUCUACCACGAAUCAGACACUAGAAUAGGAGCUCUUCAAGAUGGUUAUCAAAAAACUUAAACACUCAUCAACAUAAUUUAAAUAGUUGUUUUCUAACGUAGCAGACAUCAGGGUCACAUGGAGGGCUUUCAAAAUACAUCACUGGGCUCCAUCCCUAGUGUUUCUGAUUCUGUAGGUCUUGAUCCAGGAGAAUUUGCAUUUCUUUUUGUUUGUUUGUUUUGUUUUUUUCUUUUACUUUAAGUUCUGGGAUACAUGUGUAGAACGUGCAAGUUUGUUAUAUAAGUAUACAUGUGCCAUGGUGAUUUGCUGCACCUAUAGACCCAUCAUCUAGGUUUUAAGCCCCGCAUGCAUUAGGUAUUUGCCCUAAUGCUCUCCCACACUUUGUCCUCCAACCUCCAACAGGCCCCAGUGUGUGAUGUUCCCCUCCCUGUGUCCAUGUGUUUUCAUUGUUCAACUCCCACUUAUGAGUGAGAACAUGUGGUGUUUGGUUUUCUGUUCUUGUGUUAGUUUGCUGAGAAUGAUGACUUCCAGCUUCAUCCAUGUCCCUGCAAAGGACAUGAUCGCAUUCUUUUCUAUGGCUGCAUAGUAUUCCAUGGUUUAUAUAUGCCACAUUUUCUUUAUCCAGUCUAUCACUGAUGGGCAUUUGGGAUGGUUCAAAGUCUUUGUUAUUGUAAAUAGUGCUGCAAUAAACAUACGUGUACGUAUGUCUUUAUAGUAGAAUGAUUUAUAAUCCUUUGGGUAUAUACCUAGUAAUGGGAUUGCUGGGUCAAAUGGUAUUUCUGCUUCUAGAUCCUUGAGGAAUUGCCACACUGUCUUCCACAAUGGUUGAACUAAUUUACACUCCCACCAACAGUGUAAAGUGUUUCUAUUUCUCCACAGCCUUGCCAUCAUCUAUUGUUUCCUGACUUUUAAUAAUCAUCAUUCUGACUGGCGUGAGAUGGUAUCUCAUUGUGGUUUUGAUUUGCAUUUCUCUAAUGACCAGUGAUGAUGAGCCAUAUGCAGAAAACAGAAACUGGACCCCUUCCUUACUCCUUAUACAAAAAUUAACUCAAGAUGGAUUGAAGACUUAAAUGUAAAACCCAAAACCAUAGAAACCCUGGAAGAAAACCUAGGCAAUACCAUUCAGGACAUAGGCAUGGCCAAAGACUUCAUGACUAAAACACCGAAAGCAAUUGCAACAAUAACCAACAUUGACAAAUGAGAUCUAAUUAAACUAAAGAGCUUCUGCACAGCAAAAGAAACUAUCAUCAGAGUGAAAUGGCAACCUACAGAAUGGGAGAAAAUUUUUGCAAUCUACCCAUCUGAUAAAGGUCUAAUAUCUAGAAUCUACAAGGAACUUAAACAAAUUUACAAGAAAAAACAAACAACCCCAUCAAAAAGUGGGUGAAGGAUAUGAACAGACACUUCUCGAAGACAUGUAGGCAGCCAACAAAAAUCUGAGAAUUUGAAUUUCUAACAAGUUCCUGGGUAAUGCUACUGGUCUGCAGACUGCACUCUGAGAACAGCUGCAAGAUGAGGCACACUGACACAAAAUAAUUAAAAAAACAGGAAUUUCUAACCACUUACAAUGACCAAAUGUUGUACAAGAAUAAUCUGGAAACAUCACACUAAAGAAGAGGAAAGCAGUAUAAUCUGGAGGACUCAAAUUUAGAGUCACACCAAAGGGAUCCAAAUCCCUGAUUCAGCAAUUAUUUUCUGUGUGAACUCAGGUAAAUUAACCUCUCCAAACCUCAGCUUUCCCUCAUGUGAAGUAGGAAUAAAAUUAGUAACUAUUUAAUUGGACUUAAAUGAAGUAACCCCAGUUCUUAUUAGCACACUGCCUGAUACACCAUAAUAAGUGCUCACAUCAGUGAUAGGGUUAUAUUAACAGGGAUCCCUUUUACAUUUGUCAAGUGAACAGAGUUGCUUUCCCCUGCCCUUACCUUCCCCUCAGUCUCAACACAAUACACACACACACACACACACACACACACACACACUCUCUCUCUCUCUCAUGCACAAAUAUAUUUGCUUUGCUUUUUCUUUUCUUGCUCUUCAACUCCUCAUAUCUAUAAUAUAAUUGAGAGCAGUAAAUAAGCACAAUAAUUAGACCCGAGGUUUCUGCCUUGGACAUCAGGCAAUAAAUAGGCACAAUUCAGUCUAAUUAAAGCACCCUUAAAUGUGAAGUUACCCUAAGAACUUUUCUCAGAAUUUCAAUUGAAAGUGAGGUUCAUUUGCAUCUUAUUACUUAAAAGAACUGCAAAUAGGGAAAGGCAACAAUUUCCACAAUCCACAUAGAGUAAUAAAAAGUAUGGGAGUAAUUCUUUAAAUGUAAACCUAAUUGAAACAAAAAUGAUUAAAUGAUUGUAUUUAAAACAAACAUUUAGAAGGACAUGCUUUACAUUUGUUGAAUUUGGUAAACCAGACACCUGCCUGGUCAGGUCACGAGGGAAGAAACUGGGACCUGAAACUAGACCUACCCAUCAGAGAGGAUGGCUCAGUUGCAGGUGCUGGGAGAAUGUCCAGUCUGGCAAGCAGAACAAAGUAUCUGAAGAAUAUGGCAGAACACAAGGAUUGAUAAUGCAGCCAGGAAAUUGGUAUCAGGAGGCAAACAUGAAAGAGCAGAAGUUCACUCAAUACGAAACCACGGCUUGGUGCCAAGAAGCAGCUAAACGUGUCCCAAAUUCAGGCAGGCAGCAUCAGAAAGCCUUAUCUACCAUAGUAGAGCCACAGUCAGACUGUGGAACAGGAGCUGGACCCCGGUGGCUAAGAGAGAGAAAGAAUGGCAAACGUAAGGUUGGGUCUUAGGUGUUCUUAGAGGACCUGGGCAGACCUGGCAAACUUUUAAAACAGGAACUCAAUUCUGGGUAAUGGGAGAAGAAUGCGGGUAUGAGAACUGCAGCAUAAGGUAGAUACUGAAUCCAAGGAACGAGAGACAUACAUGACUCUAGAAAUUACAGCAAAAGCCAAAGGCAGACCGGAAGCCAAACUAGCUUGAUGCUAAGGAAGAAAAGUAUUGGAUUGGAACUCCUUAAAUGCCUCCUCUCCCAGGUAAAGCCUGGCCACAGGGAGCUUAGAAGGCUGAGUGAACAGGCUGAAGUCAUGGUGAGCAGAGAGGUCUGCAGAGACUGGAAACUAGGAAGGACUUGACAAUAACAAGAUCAGGAAAACCAGGCCCAUAGUUCCAAUUUUGUAAUCAAUAUAAUUACCCUGAAACUUUCUAAGCAACAAGUAGCAGCACUCUUAUUUAAAUCAAAUCUCGCACGUAUAAUUAAGAAAAUCCAUGUAUGUUUGUUUUAAUGAAUUUGACCUAUAGUAACAAGAUGGGUUAUUUUUGCUGCUCAGUCCACUGUCCACAGAAGAUGAAAAAUAAAAGUAACCCUUUUCCUAUUUUUCUCUCCUUUUCAUUAGUGUGUAAAUUUAACCUAUGAAAAUGAAUUGCCUUUCUGAAUUUCUUCUCAUCUCUGAAAUACAAAGAUGUCUCUCUCUAAAAAAACAGUAAAUACAUUUUUUAAGUUUUUGUCAUUCUUCUGAGAGCAACAUCUUCUAACAGGGCCCUAAAGCAUUGAACCCUAAUAAUAAAAAUGCAAUAUAAAAGUUAUUAAUGUAUUUAGCACACCACUAUGUGUUACUACCUGCCACAAAGUGACACUCACACACAAAAUGUCUGUCAUACCCAUGGCCCAAUUCACUUUGGAGAAGAAUCACCAAAUAGCCAUCCUUGGAAGUCAAGGAUCUCCUCUUUUGGUAUGAACACUCAUAAGAUGAAGACAGAGUAGUUUCAUAAGCCAAACAUGCCCAUUUCUGUUGUGACAGCCUACCCCUA